GAAGGGGUGGCCGAGUGGUCCAAGGCGCCGCAACCACUUCAAAUACAUUUGAUCUUCCCUUGGAAUAUCAAAAUUAUUGCGGUCUGUUCUAAGAACAGUCGUGGGUUCAAAUCCCUCCCUCUUCU
rfam:Mortierella elongata AG-77 unplaced genomic scaffold K457scaffold_124, whole genome shotgun sequence.